CUCAGAACGAACGCUGGCGGCAUGCCUAACACAUGCAAGUCGAACGAAGGCUUCGGCCUUAGUGGCGCACGGGUGCGUAACGCGUGGGAAUCUGCCCUUGGGUUCGGAAUAACAGUGAGAAAUUACUGCUAAUACCGGAUGAUGACUUCGGUCCAAAGAUUUAUCGCCCAAGGAUGAGCCCGCGUAAGAUUAGCUAGUUGGUGAGGUAAAGGCUCACCAAGGCGACGAUCUUUAGCUGGUCUGAGAGGAUGAUCAGCCACACUGGGACUGAGACACGGCCCAGACUCCUACGGGAGGCAGCAGUGGGGAAUAUUGGACAAUGGGCGAAAGCCUGAUCCAGCAAUGCCGCGUGAGUGAUGAAGGCCUUAGGGUUGUAAAGCUCUUUUACCAGGGAUGAUAAUGACAGUACCUGGAGAAUAAGCUCCGGCUAACUCCGUGCCAGCAGCCGCGGUAAUACGGAGGGAGCUAGCGUUGUUCGGAAUUACUGGGCGUAAAGCGCACGUAGGCGGCCAUUCAAGUCAGAGGUGAAAGCCCGGGGCUCAACCCCGGAACUGCCUUUGAAACUAGAUGGCUUGAAUCUUGGAGAGGCGAGUGGAAUUCCGAGUGUAGAGGUGAAAUUCGUAGAUAUUCGGAAGAACACCAGUGGCGAAGGCGACUCGCUGGACAAGUAUUGACGCUGAGGUGCGAAAGCGUGGGGAGCAA
rnacentral:rRNA from 1 species